rnacentral:rRNA from 1 species
AUGGCAGAGACCACCGAGAACGAGUGCCACACCGAUGAAGAGGAAGACCUGGUCGGAGAGGAGGAAGGAGGCACCGGGAUCCAAGGCGAGGAGGGUGGAGGCACCGGGGAGAAGAGGAAGCGGCCUCUGAACAAGAACGAGAAGAGUCUGUGCGGCUUCAGCAAGCGCGGGGUGUGCUACCUCAGCCACGUCCCUCCCCACAUGAACCCGUCGCACGUCCGCCAGAUCUUCUCCAAGCACGGCGAGGUGCAGAGGAUCUACCUCGUCCCCGAAGGUCAAGGUCAUCGCAAGCAUAGUAACGUAAAAGCGAAGGCUUAUUCCGAAGGGUGGGUUGAGUUUGCAAAGAAAAGUGUCGCCAAGAGGGUGGCUAAUCUGCUUAAUGGUGAACAAAUAGGUGGGAAGAAGAGGUCGUCAUUUUAUUAUGACAUCUGGAACAUAAAGUAUCUCAGGAAGUUCAAAUGGGAUGAUCUGGUUGGUGAAAUAGCUGAGAAGACUCAUAUCAGGGAACAGAAAUUAACAUUGGAGAUAACAGCUGCGAAGAAACAACGUGAUCAUUAUCUCUCUAAUGCUGAAAAGUCUCGUACACAGAAAUUUAUUCGCGAGCGCAUAAAAAAGAAGCAAAAGAACGAAGGAAAAGAAUCCAAUGAUGUCGGUGAGACGAAUAAUGACUGUCCAAUUCCUCGACAGAAUAGAGCAGUUGAGGAGAGAGGCCCUAGUAAAAAGGCAAAGCUCUCAAAAAAUAUUCUGGCCGGAGUAUUCGGUGGUUCAUCAUGA